rnacentral:rRNA from 1 species
GUAGGUGGCAAGCGUUGUCCGGAAUUAUUGGGCGUAAAGCGCGCGCAGGCGGUUCUUUAAGUCUGAUGUGAAAGCCCACGGGCUCAACCGUGGAGGGUCAUUGGAAACUGGAGAACUUGAGUACAGAAGAGGAAAGCGGAAUUCCACGUGUAGCGGUGAAAUGCGUAGAGAUGUGGAGGAACACCAGUGGCGAAGGCGGCUUUCUGGUCUGUAACUGACGCUGAGGCGCGAAAGCGUGGGGAGCAAACAGGAUUAGAUACCCUGGUUAGUCCACGCCGUAAACGAUGAGUGCUAAGUGUUAGGGGGUUUCCGCCCCUUAGUGCUGCAGCUAACGCAUUAAGCACUCCGCCUGGGGAGUACGGCCGCAAAGGCUG